rnacentral:rRNA from 1 species
AUACGUAGGGGGCGAGCGUUAUCCGGAUUCAUUGGGCGUAAAGCGCGCGUAGGCGGCCUGCUAGGUCGGGACUCAAAUCCGGGGGCUCAACCCCCGCCCGGUCCCGAUACCGACAGGCUUGAGUCUGGUAGGGGAAGGCGGAAUUCCAAGUGUAGCGGUGGAAUGCGCAGAUAUUUGGAAGAACACCGGUGGCGAAGGCGGCCUUCUGGGCCACGACUGACGCUGAGGCGCGAAAGCUAGGGGAGC